rnacentral:rRNA from 1 species
UGGGGAAUUUUGGACAAUGGGCGCAAGCCUGAUCCAGCCAUUCCGCGUGCAGGACGAAGGCCUUCGGGUUGUAAACUGCUUUUGUACGGAACGAAAAGGCUCUGGCUAAUACCUGGGGCUCAUGACGGUACCGUAAGAAUAAGCACCGGCUAACUACGUGCCAGCAGCCGCGGUAAUACGUAGGGUGCAAGCGUUAAUCGGAAUUACUGGGCGUAAAGCGCGCGUAGGCCGUCUUUUAAGUCGGACGUGAAAGCCCUCGGCUCAACCGGGGAACUGCGUUCGAUACUGGGAGACUUGAGUCCUGGAGAGNGUGGCGGAAUUCCGGGUGUAGGAGUGAAAUCCGUAGAUAUCCGGAGGAACACCGGUGGCGAAGGCGGCCACCUGGACAGGUACUGACGCUGAGGCGCGAAAGCGUGGGGAGCAAACA